UUCAGGUUAAAUACAGGCAGAAGUACAUCAACUCUCUGGGAACCUGGAAGUCUAUCCCCGACCGCCCUGAGUUCUUCUACAGCAAGAUAGCCAACGACAACGUCAGCAGCGUGAAGUACAAGGAGGACCUGGAGUGGCUGAGGGGCGUCGGCUGCUACGUUUGGGACACACCUGAGCUGGUGACCGCC